rnacentral:rRNA from 1 species
GAUGAACGCUGGCGGCGUGCCUAAUACAUGCAAGUCGAGCGAACAGACGAGGAGCUUGCUCCUCUGACGUUAGCGGCGGACGGGUGAGUAACACGUGGAUAACCUACCUAUACGACUGGGAUAACUGUGGGAAACCGGAGCUAAUACCGGAUAAUAUAUUGAACCGCAUGGUUCAAUAGUGAAAGACGGUUUUGCUGUCACUUCUAGAUGGAUCCGCGCCGCAUUAGCUAGUUGGUAAGGUAACGGCCUACCAAGGCAACGAUGCGUAGCCGACCUGAGAGGGUGAUCGCCCACACUGGAACUGAGACACGGUCCAGACGACUACGGGAGGCAGCAGAAGGGAAUCUUCCGCAAUGGGCGAAAGCCUGACGGAGCAACGCCGCGUGAGUGAUGAAGGUCUUCGGAUCGUAAAACUCUGUUAUUAGGGAAGAACAAAUGUGUAAGUAACUAUGCACGUCUUGACGGUACCUAGUCAGAAAGCCACGGCUAACUACGUG